rnacentral:misc_RNA from 1 species
UUUCCGUAGGUGAACCUGCGGAAGGAUCAUUACCAAAUCCAAUACCCCAACCCCUGUGAACUUGUAUUGUCUGUCUUUGGGGGGGUGGAGACUCGUUUUUGUUUUCUCCCCCCCUAUUUUAACUGAACAACUUCUGAUAUUGUUGGAAUUACUUUUAUUAAUUAUUAAUAAAGGACAACUUUUAACGGUGGAUCUCUUGGCUCGU